AAAAAAACAAACUCUAGGUUUUUUGUCCAACUUUAACUGUUCGUUUUAUAUGAAAAUUUUUUAUAAUUUGUAUUUUCAUUGUUGUUAGAUGAUAAAACAUGAUUAAUAUUUUAUACGUGACUUGUCUUUUUAAUUCUUUUAUAAUUUUUUCAAAUAAGACGGUCCGACAUUGGACACAGAAACC
rnacentral:pre_miRNA from 1 species